GACGAACGCUGGCGGCGUGCUUAACACAUGCAAGUCGAACGGAAAGGCCCUUCGGGGUACUCGAGUGGCGAACGGGUGAGUAACACGUGGGUGAUCUGCCCUGCACUUUGGGAUAAGCCUGGGAAACUGGGUCUAAUACCGAAUAGGACCACGCGCUUCAUGGUGUGUGGUGGAAAGCUUUUGCGGUGUGGGAUGGGCCCGCGGCCUAUCAGCUUGUUGGUGGGGUAAUGGCCUACCAAGGCGACGACGGGUAGCCGGCCUGAGAGGGUGACCGGCCACACUGGGACUGAGAUACGGCCCAGACUCCUACGGGAGGCAGCAGUGGGGAAUAUUGCGCAAUGGGCGCAAGCCUGAUGCAGCGACGCCGCGUGAGGGAUGACGGCCUUCGGGUUGUAAACCUCUUUCAAUAGGGACGAAGCGCAAGUGACGGUACCUAUAGAAGAAGCACCGGCCAACUACGUG
rnacentral:rRNA from 1 species